rnacentral:rRNA from 1 species
GUACACACCGCCCGUCAAGCCACGAAGGGGAGGGGCGCCCGAACCCGCUGUGCCAACCGCAAGGGAGCAGGCGGCUACGGUGAAACUCCUGAUCGGGACUAAGUCGUAACAAGGUAACCGUAGGUGAACCUGCAGAAGGAUCA